GUAGGCGGCUCAGCAAGUCGGCCGUGAAAGUCUGAGGCUCAACCUCAGGACGCCGGUCGAAACUGCUGUGGCUAGGGUCCGGUAGAGGAGAGUGGAAUUCCCGGUGUAGCGGUGAAAUGCGCAGAUAUCGGGAGGAACACCAGUAGCGAAGGCGGCUCUCUGGGCCGGCACCGACGCUGAGGAGCGAAAGCUAGGGGAGCAAACAGGAUUAGAUACCCUGGUAGUCCUAGCCGUAAACGUUGGGCACUAGGUGUGGCGGAUUCAUUGACAUCUGCCGUGCCGUAGCUAACGCAUUAAGUGCCCCGCCUGGGGAGUACGGUCGCAAGGCUAAAACUCAAAGGAAUUGACGGGAGCCCGCACAAGCGGCGGAGCAUGCGGCUUAAUUCGAUGGUACCCGAAGAACCUUACCUGGACUUGACAUAAUGGGAAAAACCCUAGAGAUAGGGUGUGCGUAAGCGUCCAUUACAGGUGGUGCAUGGCUGUCGUCAGCUCGUGUCGUGAGAUGUUGGGUUAAGUCCCGCAACGAGCGCAACCCCUGUCCUAUGUUGCCAGCGGAUAAUGCCGGGGACUCAUGGGAGACUGCCGGGGACAACUCGGAGGAAGGCGGGGACGACGUCAAGUCAUCAUGCCCCUUAUGUCCAGGGCUGCACGCAUGCUACAAUGGCAGGUACAAUGGGCAGCGAUCCCGCGAGGGUGAGCGAAUCCUCAAAGCCUGUCUCAGUUCGGAUCGGAGUCUGCAACUCGACUCCGUGAAGUCGGAGU
rnacentral:rRNA from 1 species